GAUUUAGCCAGCAAAUAUGGGGGAACAGUAAGCAUUCCUCUUCUCAGCCAGCCAGCGCACCGCCGCCUCCACUUCCACACCCACCCACACUGGCGGGCCACAACCUCACACUGACCUUCACGCAUCCCUCUUUCUGCUGUAUUUACUCUUCUUCACAAGUGAAAAUGUAAUUCAAACCACCCGCUCACAUGGCCUUCCCUCUUGCGGCUGUUUGAUGAAUCUCACGUCCAAACCAAGAUGAAGAUCCAAACCUGCCAGUUGACUCCAGUUGUCCGAGGAAAGCAACAAUACCGCUGCCGCCACCGAGCGCUGAAACCACUUCCAGCACAGACUCAGCCGCUACUGGAGCCACUGACACACGGACUGAGAGCGAAAGCGUGUGGAGUACGGAGGAUUGAGUGCGAAAGAGCGUGAACGUUCAGCAGUGGCACACCUCGUCCAACGCACAGGAGCAGCCACCAGCGCCACCGACUCUCCUUUGUGUGGUGAACUGUGGUCUACAUCAGGAGUUGUGGCCAUGGAAAGAGACUGAACCUUUUAGACACAGCAGGGGGAUGCAGGCACCCGCCAGUCAGUCUGCAGGAGCUGUCCGUUCCAUUCUGUAGGAAGAGAAAUGUUCAUCAACUCUGAAGAAUUACCUGUUGGCUUAAAACCAAGUCCCUGAGAAAAUGUCUAGUUUUGUUACCUCACAUAACAUUCCUGUAUGAACCAUGUACUGCGUAGUCAGUUGAUGAGGCAUACACACCGGGGGGCACAUUGCCUUACCCACCCUUCAAUGCCAACCCUGGGGGUUCCUCAGGAUGUCUUCAUGCAGGCCCCCUUCCCAUAAAAAAACUCACGGCAGGAUCUAUCGACUUGCUCAAGCUACUAACUCCGUGGGCGUCCCCUUGGCCUCCUCCACUUAGGGUUGUCUCUUACAGAAAUAACCCAAUGAGCAGGGUCGGCUUCUGGGUAGUAUGCCACAUGCCUGUACAGCUAGACUUGGCCUUGACAGACAAUGCAAGUAAUAGAUGUCAAAUCAGUUUCAUGGUGUAGUUGCUAGUUUGACGAAAAGUCAUUGCAGAGAUAUCCCAUGAUUCUGCAUAGACACAGUAAUUAUUACUAAAGGUAUCAAUCUGCCUCUCCAAGUCACUAAUGUGUCCAUGUCUCACAGCCAUAGAGUAAGAGGGAGCACAAGGGACUUGAAGAUCUGAAGCAUUGUCUUUUUGCACAGGUAUCAACAAUGCCACAUCCUUGUGCUAUGCGAAUCCCAACACCGUGGGCCAAGCCAAUCCACCGUAAGACUUCCUGGCGAGACCCACUGUUGUUCUGGACUGCACCACCGGGAUAUGUGAAAUUUUCCAAAUUCUCAAUGUGAACAGACUGUACUGAUUCAUCUAGCAAGCCUCCAAACACCUGUACCUUGGUCUUGGCCCAGGAGACCUGAAGUCCCAAGUGCUUCGCCUCAUCUUGCUGUGCCUUGAGAGCCAUCACCAGAACCUCUGUCGACUCUGCAAAGAUUACUGCAUCAUCAUCAAAAACAAGGUCAGUGACCUUGGUAUUGCCAACAGAUGCUCUAGAAUGACUGAUAUACAACUCUGCCGAGUACCCAGUCCAUACAAGUGUUGAAAAGUGAUGGGGCAAGGACCCAGCCCUGCCUCACUCCUGCGUUCAUGGGAAAGAAGCUGGACACAGCCCCCCUACCCAAUUCAUAGCACUUUAGGACAAAGUGCAGGCCAGUCAAUAGACAAAUGAUCCUUGCAGGAGUCCUGUGGCAUUGCAGGAAAUCCCAUAGUGCCUCAUGAUGCACUGAAGCAAAUGGCUUAUUGAAAUCGACAUAGGCUACAAGCAUCGCCUGUUGAGACUCGUGUCUGUGUUCCACCAGUACCUACAUAAAGCGCUAGAACUUACCAGACAUGAACCCGGGCUGUGCGGGUCUCUGCAGCUUCAGCACCUGGUUGUGAAUCAGCAUCAGUAAUAGACAAGCAAGCACCUUGCCUGGCACAUUGAAUAGUGCAAUACCACAAUACUAGUUGCUGCAGUCCUGGCGGUUCCUUUCUCUUUCUGGAUAGGAAUGACCAGCCCCCUCGGGAAUGGUACCAGAUUGCCACACGGCAGUCAAGAAUGCAUGCAACCUGCAGAUCAUGCUCUCACCCUCAGCUUUGAGCAGCUCUGCACUGCUGUUACAGGUGCCAGGUGCCUUUCCACCUCUCAACUUUGUAACAGCCUCUCUGACUUUGUCAAGGUGGGCUUUUGUCAAUGAGUGAAUCAGCAUCUGCCACCAGCAACUGGAAGCUGCCCACUCAGAGGGUACGCCCUUCACAAAUGCUCAAAGUACUCAGCUCAACAAGCUGUCUUAGAUGGACUUUGGAGGAAAUGCUGGAGAAUGUUGGCUUCAAGCCUCCCUCCCAGGUGAGUGCUAUCCAAACAGUAGAUGGCUGUGUUGGACAAGGAUGGGCAGAGGGGUUGUAGGGUUGAGUACUUUGAGCAGUUGUACAUGGUGGACCCUUCAAGUGGGCAGCUUCUAGCUGCUGGGUUGCAGGUGGAAGAUGCUGAUCCACCAAUUGAUGAAAGCCCUUCCUCUCUGGAUGAGGUCAGAGAGGCAGUGGCAAAGCUGAGAGGUAAAUAGGCACCUGUUAUUUGUAACAUAAAUGCAGAUCUGCUAGUGGUAAGGCCAUGAUCCAUGGGCGGCAUGCAGUCUUGACUGCCAUAUAGCAGUUUGGUACCAUUCCUCGCGACUGGAAAAGGGGGUUGGUUGUCUCCAUUCAGAAAGGGAAAGGGGACCACCAGAACUGAAAAAACUACUGUGAUAUUAUGCUGCUCAGUGUGCCAGGCCGGCAAGGUGCUUGCUCAUCUAUUGCUGCUGUGGAUUCACAACCUUACUAAAGCAGCUGCAGAGACUUGAGCAGGCUGGGUUACUGCCUGGUAAGUUGAAACUGAUCAUAUCGUAGCACUUUGCGUACUGGUGGAGUGCUGAUGUGAGCUGCGACAGAGGAUGCUUGCAUUCUAUGUCGAUCUCAUGAAGUCGUUUGAUGCAGUGCAUCAUGAGGCAUUAUGGGAUCUCUUGCAAUUCCAUGAAAUUCCUACAAGGACUGUUAUUCUACUGACCGGCCUGUAGUCUAUGAGUGCUGUGAAGUGUACGUGUGGGUGUGUCCAGCUUCUUGCCUGUGAAUAGAGGGGUGAGGCAGAGCUGUGUUCUUGGUCCAAAGCUUUUCAACACUUGUUUGAACUGGGUACUAUAGUUGCAAUGCCUGAGUCUUGAGGUGUGCAUUAGCAUGCUUUAGUAACCUGCUGUCACAUAGCACGUCCGAUUUUGUGGAUAAUAUUGGAUAGCCUAAGCAUACAAAAUAGUUGUAUGCAUCAGUAUAUGAAGGCAAUAAUGAGGAAUAUCAUCAAUUAUAGUAACUUUUUGGUUUCAAAUUGUUAAUACUGUUGUAGUCUGCUGUUUUGUUACUUUUCUUUAUGGUGAACUAUUUAAUGAUUAUAAUCAGUGACAUUAUAAAUGAACAAAACAGCUGAUUGUGACUGAAUUAAUAAAUUGGAACUCAAAAUAGACUAUAUAACUGGCAGUACUUGUCAUAGUUGCCUACAUAUUACUGAUACUGACAACUAUUUUCAAUGCACAGGCUACCCACACGCCAUGUGACAGCAGAUUGCCAAAGCACAAUAAUGUAGACUUGAGUCAUUGUAGAGUUUCUGUUGCCAGUACCAUGGUCACUGACCUUGUUUUUACCAUUGAUGCAGUAAUCCUUGCAAAGUUGCUGGAGGUUCUGGUGAUGAUUCUCAAGGCACUGCAUGAGGUGGCGAAGCCACUGGGACUCCAGGUUUCCUUUACGAAGACCAAGGUACAGGUGUUUGGAGGACUGCUAGAUGAAACAGUACAGUCUGUUCAUGCAUGUGGUAAGGACAUUGUUGAUAUCUUAGAAAAUUUCAAAUACUAUGGUAGCAUAGAUCAGAAUAACAGAAGGUCUUGUCAGGAAGUCUUAAGGCGGAUUGACCCUACACAUGGUGUUGGAACUCGCUCAGCACGAGUGUAUGGCAUUGUCGAUAGCUGUACAGAUGGUCAAAGAUCCGGAUCUUCAAAAAUUGCAUGUUCUCCCUGUCUUACUCUAUGGCUGUGGUAACAAGUGCCUAUGCAGAUUUAUGGGAUAUUGGAGGAAUGACUGUCAAACUGGCAAUUACUCCAUGAGAACUGAUUUGUGGCAUUUUACCUGCAUAGUCAGUCAAUACCAACACCAGCUACGUAUAUGGGAAUGUGGCACGCUAUCCAGAUCGAGGUGGACACACCGGGUUAUUUCUGUAGGAGACAACCCUAAGUGGGGGAGACCAAGGGGAUGUCCACAGAGUAUAUGGCUUGAGCAAGUCAACAGUUCCUACCAUGAAGUACCUUGAAUGAGAAGGGGGCCUGCAUGGAGACUUGCCUAGAGGAACCCCCAGGUUUGGCAUCGUAGGGUGAGUGAGGUGAUGCACCCCCUAGCAAAUGCCCUGAUGGACUGAUUGAUAAGGAAGAUUUGCAUAUUUCACAGACUCUCUACUGACACUUCUAGAAGUAUUUUUGACUUAGUAUGGGUUUCAGUGGCAGUGUUCUAUUGUUUUCAGGAAUAACUUCUCAAUAAAGCCGGGUAAGGAUGAUAAUCUGGUGUAGCAUGUUUCAGACCGUGCCCUAAUUUACUCAUCAUGUUUAUUUAACAAGGUGUGGAUAAUUAAUGCAUUUAUAAGAGUGACAGUGGUAAACUCGGUCACAUGGAGUGGGCCGAGAUGCGAAGCUAAUGUGACACAGAAACAGAGGGGGGGGGGGGGGUUGCAUUGUACGAGUUUUGUUCGUAGGCUAAGGCAACAGAAGCAAGGGUGAUUCUCUCUCUCGUGACUACAUCACACUAGCCUCGCAUAGCGAUCCACUACAUUUGGCCGAGGUCACCAUUCUGUCACUCUUGUAAAUGCUUUAAUCAUCCAUAUCUGCUUAAGAAUACAUAUUGAAUAAAUUAGGGCAAGGUCUGAUACAUACUGUGCCAGAUUUUCAUCCUUACCCAACACUUCGUAAAAAAGUUAUUCCCAAAUAAUGAUAUAACACUGCCUCUGAAGCCCAUAGUAGUACAGCCCAUAAUUAUGCAUUUCUAGUGGUUUCUGCAGCUGAAAACUUGCAAAUACAGCAAUAAAGCUAUAAUAUGUAUCAAAUGAAUAAAAACUGUACUAAUAAAUAUUAAAUAUUUUAAACUUGUGGUUCUGCCUUUGGAAAGUAUAUAGUUGAGUAUAUAGUAAAAUUAAUAUUAUUGGAUAAAGUAUUUAUCAAAAUUUUCAAUUUUUUCUUUUGAAUCCUAAAUGCUUUUACUGGAUAAAGAUAAUAAUUGGUGGUCUGUUAUAUCUAGAGCAUUAUACUGGAACCAGACAGCCUCCACAUAAGCCAUCAUAACCAUCAAUAUUAUUAUUUGUUUAUCUAUAUGACAAUAUCUCUUGAUGUUCUGUUCCCUCAAGGGUACCUCCCUCAAGGAGAUGGCAAAGGCAUGUGUCCCCAGUUUUCCCUGCUCUGGCACUUCCUCUCAGCACACUCAAUACCUCACCUACCAACUCUUUCUCUCUCCAAUACUCGUUAGUUAUUAAUCUAUUUCACUGAUGGACUCUCACUGACACCCUGUCCCUCGAGAUCAGUCCUGCCCCCAUAAACUCUUCACAACUAAUUCUCAUUCAUUUUCGUCACAUUUCCGAAACAUCUCAGAACAUCAUACUUCGCCCAUUCAACCAUUCCACAAUUUACACACUUUGCCGUUACGCACCCAUGUCAAAUCUCUCAUUCAUGCUUUCAUUGCUUUUUCCAUUCCAUCCUGACACUAUGACUCAAACCCCUGUAUCAACUAAUUAGUCUCUUGCUAUUGCUAAUUUCUAUUACUUUAAACCCCAUGUAUGGUAAGAGGAUCACCAAUUGCAAGAUAUGCUAAGUUUCUGA